rnacentral:rRNA from 1 species
AGCCGCUCAGAACUCAAAGGAAUUGACGGGGCCCGCACAAGCGGAGGAGCAUGUGGUUUAAUUCGAUGAUACGCGAGGAACCUUACCUGGGCUCGAACGUAAGAUGACUGUAGGUGAAAGCUUACAUCUCUUCGGAGCAUUUUACGAGGUGCUGCAUGGUUGUCGUCAGCUCGUGCCGUGAGGUGUCGGGUUAAGUCCCAUAACGAGCGCAACCCCUACCUUUAGUUGCCAUCAGGUUAAGCUGGGGACUCUAAAGGAACUGCCUACGCAAGUAGUGAGGAAGGCGGGGAUGACGUCAAAUCAGCACGGCCCUUACGUCCAGGGCUACACACGUGCUACAAUGGCCGAUACAGAGGGCAGCUACCUGGUGACAGGAUGCAAAUCUCCAAAGUCGGUCUCAGUUCGGAUCGGAGUCUGCAACCCGACUCCGUGAAGUUGGAUUCGCUAGUAAUCGCGCAUCAGCCAUGGCGCGGUGAAUACGUUCCCGGGCCUU